rnacentral:sRNA from 1 species
GUCGCUGCCAAUUCAGCGACCGGGUGUGAGAGCCCGAAACAAUCAAGGCGCAAAGCGCCCCAAAACCUGUCGUGGCGUUUUUUUU